GGAGGACUGCUUGAGGCCAGGAGUUCGAGGCUGCAGGGAGCUGUGACCAUGCCACUGCACUCCAGCCUGAGUGACAGAGUGAGACCCUGUCUCA
rnacentral:miRNA from 1 species